rnacentral:rRNA from 4 species
UAGGGAAUAUUGGACAAUGGGCGCAAGCCUGAUCCAGCCAUGCCGCGUGAGUGAAGAAGGCCCUCGGGUUGUAAAGCUCUUUUGUCCGGAAAGAAAAGCUUUGGGUUAAUACCCCGAAGUCCUGACGGUACCGGAAGAAUAAGCACCGGCUAACUUCGUGCCAGCAGCCGCGGUAAUACGAAGGGUGCAAGCGUUACUCGGAAUUACUGGGCGUAAAGCGUGCGUAGGUGGUUCGUUAAGUCUGAUGUGAAAGCCCUGGGCUCAACCUGGGAAUGGCAUUGGAUACUGGCGGGCUAGAGUGCGGUAGAGGGCAGUGGAAUUCCCGGUGUAGCAGUGAAAUGCGUAGAGAUCGGGAGGAACAUCUGUGGCGAAGGCGACUGCCUGGACCAGCACUGACACUGAGGCACGAAAGCGUGGGGAGCAAACAGG